AAGAGACAGCAGCCGCCACGGUAAAACGUAGGGCGCGAGCGUUGUCCGGAAUCAUUGGGCGUAAAGCGCGUGUAGGCGGCUGAGUAAGUCUGCUGUGAAAGUCCAGGGCUCAACCCUGGAAUGUCGGCGGAUACUGCUCAGCUGGAGUACGGGAGGGGCGAGUGGAAUUCCUGGUGUAGCGGUGGAAUGCGCAGAUAUCAGGAGGAACACCUAUGGCGAAGGCAGCUCGCUGGAACGUUACUGACGCUGAGACGCGAAAGCGUGGGGAGCAAACAGGAUUAGAUACCCCAGUAGUCCCUGUCUCUUAUAC
rnacentral:rRNA from 1 species